GACGAACGCUGGCGGCGUGCUUAACACAUGCAAGUCGAACGGAAAGGCCCUGCUUUUGUGGGGUGCUCGAGUGGCGAACGGGUGAGUAACACGUGAGUAACCUGCCCUUGACUUUGGGAUAACUUCAGGAAACUGGGGCUAAUACCGGAUAGGAGCUCCUGCUGCAUGGUGGGGGUUGGAAAGUUUCGGCGGUUGGGGCUGGACUCGCGGCUUAUCAGCUUGUUGGUGGGGUAGUGGCUUACCAAGGCUUUGACGGGUAGCCGGCCUGAGAGGGUGACCGGCCACAUUGGGACUGAGAGACGGCCCAGACUCCUACGGGAGGCAGCAGUGGGGAAUAUUGCACAAUGGGCGGAAGCCUGAGGCAGCAACGCCGCGUGCGGGAUGACGGCCUUCGGGUUGUAAACCGCUUUCGCCUGUGACGAAGCGGGAGUGACGGUAAUGGGUAAAGAAGCACCGGCUAACUACGUG
rnacentral:rRNA from 1 species